GUACAGCCACAGUAUGGGUAUGUUCCACUUAAAGCUCGUGACGCUCACGCUCGCAACGUCGCGAUCAUCCGUUCCACUAACGUGAGCGUUGUGAUUAGUGGAACGAGUUACGAGCAUCGUGGUCAGUCGUAAUAUUACAAAAAUGGCGGAAAUUAUAGUAGCAUCUACUGUGCAAAUACUACAGGAUUCUUCUAACGAAAGCAGUUCCAGUUCCGAAGAAGAAAUGUACGAAAUAUUGAAAGAGAAAGGGAAACGUAUUUUACGCCUUCGUAUAGAAAAUUAUACGCAAUUAGUUGUUUCGUGUUAUACGGCUGUAGAAUUUAAAAGCCAUUUUAGGUUAUCAGAUUGCAGCGCACAACUUUUGAAUACAUUCUAAGCAUUAUUAGUAAUGAUCUAGUAAGAAAAAUAAAAGGAUGUAGUACAAUUCCACCUGAUCAACAAUUAAUGAUUGCUUUAUGGAAGAUGGCUACAAUGGAUUCAUACAGGUUUGUGUAAUUUGUGAUAGAUUUAAUGUAGGUAAGGCUACAGCACUAAGAGCAGAAGAGUAACACAUGCUCUAUUUAGAAUUGCUCAGCAAUAUAUUUGUUGGCCUUCAGAUGAUCGCGCACAGAUUAUAAUGCACAAUUUUGAACGCGCUAGUGGAUUUCCUAAGAUAAUUGGUGCUAUAGAUGGCACUCACAUUAAAAUCGAAGCACCAAAACAAAAUCCAACAGAUUACAUAAAUCGAAAAGGAUAUCAUUCCAUUCAACUGCAAAGUUUUUAGACAAUCCGAAGUAGUUGCAUAUUUAAAUCAUGAAGACAAAUUUCCCUCUAACAGUCAUUUAGUGGGAGAUGCAGCAUAUGCAUUACACGAACAUCUCUUAGUGCCGUUUAAAAAUAACGGACAUCUGACUGCUGCACAAAAUCAUUACAAUUUUCUUCUAUCAUCUGCAAGAGUAGUUGUUGAAAUAUGUUUUGCGUUAUUAAAGGGACGAAUGAGAAGCUUAUUGCACUGCUUGCCAAUGACCAGAGUCGAUUUAAUGUCUGAGUAUAUAGUAGCAUGUUGUGUUAUCCACAAUAUAUGUGUACUACGUGGAGACGAACUUACAAUAAUAUCAGUGCCAUCACCAAUAGAUGUUACAACGCAAGUUUGCAAUAGGAACGAAAGGCAAGCUGCUAAUGGUGUCCAUAAAAGGAAUAUGAUUAUGCAUACUUUACAAAACAGAUAUAGAGUGUAAAAAAGUAGUUAUAUAUAUUAAUAUAAAUAAUGUAUGAAUAAAAAUUGCGACGUAUCACACAGUA